GACGAACGUUGGCGGCGUGCUUAACACAUGCAAGUCGAACGGUGAAGCGAGUGCUUGCACUCGUGGAUCAGUGGCGAACGGGUGAGUAACACGUGAGUAACCUGCCCAUCACUCUGGGAUAAGCACUGGAAACGGUGUCUAAUACUGGAUACGACCAACCCUUGCAUGGGGUGUUGGUGGAAAGAUUUAUCGGUGAUGGAUGGACUCGCGGCCUAUCAGCUUGUUGGCGGGGUAAUGGCCCACCAAGGCGACGACGGGUAGCCGGCCUGAGAGGGUGACCGGCCACACUGGGACUGAGACACGGCCCAGACUCCUACGGGAGGCAGCAGUGGGGAAUAUUGCACAAUGGGCGAAAGCCUGAUGCAGCGACGCCGCGUGAGGGAUGACGGCCUUCGGGUUGUAAACCUCUUUCAGCAGGGAAGAAGCGAAAGUGACGGUACCUGCAGAAGAAGCACCGGCUAACUACGUG
rnacentral:rRNA from 1 species